rnacentral:rRNA from 1 species
CCUACGGGUGGCAGCAGUGAGGAAUAUUGGUCAAUGGGCGGAAGCCUGAACCAGCCAAGUAGCGUGCAGGAUGACGGCCCUACGGGUUGUAAACUGCUUUUAUAAAGGAAUAAAGUGAGGCACGUGUGCCUUUUUGUAGGUACUUUAUGAAUAAGGAUCGGCUAACUCCGUGCCAGCAGCCGCGGUAAUACGGAGGAUCCGAGCGUUCUCCGGAUUUAUUGGGUUUAAAGGGAGCGUAGAUGGGUUGUUAAGUCAGUUGUGAAAGUUUGCGGCUCAACCGUAAAAUUGCAAUUGAUACUGGCAGCCUUGAGUACAGUUGAGGUAGGCGGAAUUCGUGGUGUAGCGGUGAAAUGCUUAGAUAGCACGAAGAACGCCGAUUGCGAAGGCAGCCUACUAAACUGCCACUGACAUUGAUGCUCGAAAGUGUGGGUAUCAAACAGGAUUAGAUACCCUGGUAGUC